rnacentral:rRNA from 1 species
CCCUGGGCUCAACCUGGGAAGUGCAUUUGAAACUGGAUGGCUUGAGUAUGGGAGAGGGAAGUGGAAUUCCUGGUGUAGCGGUGAAAUGCGUAGAUAUCAGGAGGAACAUCGGUGGCGAAGGCGACUUCCUGGACCAAUACUGACGCUGAGGCGCGAAGGCGUGGGUAGCAAACAGGAUUAGAUACCCUGGUAGUCCACGCAGUAAACGUUGUUCACUAGGUGUAGCGGGUAUUGACCCCUGCUGUGCCGCAGCUAACGCAUUAAGUGAACCGCCUGGGGAGUACGGCCGCAAGGCUAAAACUCAAAGGAAUUCACGGGGGCCCGCACAAGCGGUGGAGCAUGUGGUUUAAUUCGACGCAACGCGAAGAACCUUACCUGGGUUUGACAUCCUGCGAAUCUUUGAGAGAUCAAAGAGUGCCUUCGGGAACGCAGUGACAGGUGCUGCAUGGCUGUCGUCAGCUCGUGUCGUGAGAUGUUGGGUUAAGUCCCGCAACGAGCGCAACCCUUAUCUUUAGUUACCAGCACUUCGGGUGGGGACUCUAGAGAUACUGCCCCGGUUAACGGGGAGGAAG